rnacentral:rRNA from 1 species
AUACGGAGGGUGCGAGCGUUAUUCGGAAUUAUUGGGCGUAAAGAGCGCGUAGGCGGCCGUACAAGUCAGGUGUGAAAUCCCGGGGCUCAACCCCGGAAGAGCAUUUGAUACUGUAUGGCUUGAGUAUGGGAGAGGGAAGUGGAAUUCCUGGUGUAGCGGUGAAAUGCGUAGAUAUCAGGAGGAACACCGGUGGCGAAGGCGGCUUCCUGGACCAAUACUGACGCUGAGGCGCGAAGGCGUGGGGAGC